AAACCAGCACCUCAAGUGGUCAGGAGGUUUAUUGGGCCUAAAGCAUCCGUAGCCUGCUGUAUAAGUUUCCGGUUAAAUCCAAAUGCUCAACAUUUGGGCUGCCGAAAAUACUGUACAGCUAGGGAGUGGGAGAGGUAGACGGUACUCGGUAGGAAGGGGUAAAAUCCUUUGAUCUAUUGAUGACCACCUGUGGCGAAGGCGGUCUACCAGAACACGUUCGACGGUGAGGGAUGAAAGCUGGGGGAGCAAACCGGAUUAGAAACCCCGGUAGUCC
rnacentral:rRNA from 1 species